GCCAGUGUAGCUCAGUGGUAGAGUGCAUGCUUUGUAUGUACAUGUGCUGGGUUCCAUCCCCAGCUUCCAGGUC
rnacentral:tRNA from 1 species